rnacentral:pre_miRNA from 1 species
UUCUCUUGUCCUUCAUUCCACCGGAGUCUGUCUCAUACCCAAUCAGAUUUCAGUGGAGUGAAGUUCAGGAGACA